rnacentral:rRNA from 1 species
GCAGAACGCGAAGAACCUUACCAGGGCUUAAAUGCAGUCCGACGGGAUUGGAAACAGUCCUUUCUUCGGACGGAUUGCAAGGUGCUGCAUGGUUGUCGUCAGCUCGUGCCGUGAGGUGUCAGGUUAAGUCCUAUAACGAGCGCAACCCCUGCCGUUAGUUGCCAGCGAGUAAAGUCGGGAACUCUAGCGGGACUGCCGGUGCAAACCGUGAGGAAGGUGGGGAUGACGUCAAAUCAUCACGGCCCUUACGUCCUGGGCCACACACGUGCUACAAUGGCAGGUACAAUGGGCAGCCACUGCGCAAGCAGGCGCGAAUCCACAAAACCUGUCUCAGUUCGGAUCGGGGCCUGCAACUCGACCCCGUGAAGCUGGAAUCGCUAGUAAUCGGAUAUCAGCCAUGAUCCGGUGAAUACGUUCCCGGGUCUUGUAUACACCG